rnacentral:rRNA from 1 species
AACGAACGCUGGCGGCAGGCUUAACACAUGCAAGUCGAACGCCCCGCAAGGGGAGUGGCAGACGGGUGAGUAACGCGUGGGAACAUACCCUUUUCUACGGAAUAGCUCUGGGAAACUGGAAUUAAUACCGUAUACGCCCUACGGGGGAAAGAUUUAUCGGGGAAGGAUUGGCCCGCGUUGGAUUAGCUAGUUGGUGGGGUAAAGGCCUACCAAGGCGACGAUCCAUAGCUGGUCUGAGAGGAUGAUCAGCCACAUUGGGACUGAGACACGGCCCAAACUCCUACGGGAGGCAGCAGUGGGGAAUAUUGGACAAUGGGCGCAAGCCUGAUCCAGCCAUGCCGCGUGAGUGAUGAAGGCCUUAGGGUUGUAAAGCUCUUUCACCGAUGAAGAUAAUGACGGUAGUCAGAGAAGAAGCCCCGGCUAACUUCGUG